UGGGGAAUAUUGCACAAUGGGCGGAAGCCUGAUGCAGCGACGCCGCGUGAGGGAUGACGGCCUUCGGGUUGUAAACCUCUUUCAGUAGGGACGAAGCGUAAGUGACGGUACCUGCAGAAGAAGCACCGGCUAACUACGUGCCAGCAGCCGCGGUAAUACGUAGGGUGCGAGCGUUGUCCGGAAUUACUGGGCGUAAAGAGCUCGUAGGCGGUUUGUCACGUCGUCUGUGAAAUCCUAGGGCUUAACCCUGGACGUGCAGGCGAUACGGGCUGACUUGAGUACUACAGGGGAGACUGGAAUUUCUGGUGUAGCGGUGGAAUGCACAGAUAUCAGGAAGAACACCGAUGGCGAAGGCAGGUCUUUGGGUAGUAACUGACGCUGAGGAGCGAAAGCAUGGGUAGCGAACAGG
rnacentral:rRNA from 1 species